CGUUGUCCGGAAUUAUUGGGCGUAAAGAGCUCGUAGGCGGUUUGUCGCGUCUGCUGUGAAAUCCCGAGGCUCAACCUCGGGUCUGCAGUGGGUACGGGCAGACUAGAGUGCGGUAGGGGAGAUUGGAAUUCCUGGUGUAGCGGUGGAAUGCGCAGAUAUCAGGAGGAACACCAAUGGCGAAGGCAGAUCUCUGGGCCGUAACUGACGCUGAGGAGCGAAAGCAUGGGGAGCGAACAGGAUUAGAUACCCUGGUAGUCCAUGCCGUAAACGUUGGGAACUAGAUGUGGGGACCAUUCCACGGUCUCCGUGUCGCAGCUAACGCAUUAAGUUCCCCGCCUGGGGAGUACGGCCGCAAGGCUAAAACUCAAAGGAAUUGACGGGGGCCCGCACAAGCGGCGGAGCAUGCGGAUUAAUUCGAUGCAACGCGAAGAACCUUACCAAGGCUUGACAUAUAGAGGAAACAUGCAGAAAUGUGUGCCCCGCAAGGUCUCUAUACAGGUGGUGCAUGGUUGUCGUCAGCUCGUGUCGUGAGAUGUUGGGUUAAGUCCCGCAACGAGCGCAACCCUCGUCCUAUGUUGCCAGCACGUAAUGGUGGGAACUCAUGGGAUACUGCCGGGGUCAACUCGGAGGAAGGUGGGGAUGACGUCAAAUCAUCAUGCCCCUUAUGUCUUGGGCUUCACGCAUGCUACAAUGGCCGGUACAAAGGGCUGCAAUACCGUAAGGUGGAGCGAAUCCCAAAAAGCCGGUCUCAGUUCGGAUUGAGGUCUGCAACUCGACCUCAUGAAGUCGGAGUCGCUAGUAAUCGCAGAUCAGCAACGCUGCGGUGAAUACGUUCCCGGGCCUUGUACACACCGCCCGUCAAGUCAUGAAAGUCGGUAACACCCGAAGCCAGUGGCCGAACCCGCAAGGGACGGAGCUGUCGAAGGU
rnacentral:rRNA from 1 species